AAGUGCUAGGCCCAGUACUCAAGAAUAGCAACACUCCCAGUAACAGCAGGAGUCCCACUUAGCCUGUUUUGAAGUUCCUGCUGGUUUCUUUCCUUGAAUCAACCAACAAGUUCCUGGCACUAGGACCCUGCAGACAGGGAAUCCCGAGCCUGCGCUCUAAAGAGAAAGAUGCACCAUUUCACAACUUCAGCAAAAGCCAAAGCAGCCAACAAAGCCACAGCCACCUCGGCUUCUGCUAGGCUCUCCCAGGCUCUGCUGUUUGGGCAGCUCACCGGGGCCACUCCCCAGAAGCAGAUCAUUCUAUCUUUUCUCUUUCUAAAACCACAUCAUCAUCAGAUCAUAAUGGAAAUCAAUCUCCUCGAACUAUCAUGCAAAGGCGUAACCAUGGCAACCUCAAGAGGAAGGACACAGAGAUGAUGCUUCAGUGGCUGCAGCAGAAAAAGAUUUCUCAACCAUGUUCCCACAGAAAACCUGUGGCACACUCCCGGGAAAGAAGGGGACCCUAGCAGAUCUGGAGGACUCAGGCGCAGGCAUUCUAAGACCAGGCGAACACUGCCAGCUGAGGAACUCAGAUCCUUGCAGGUAAGGCCAUCCUAUGAACUUUACAGAAGGAUUUUGGAGCCUCUUUGCCAUUCUCCAGUGGAAACAUCAGUGGGGUCCGAGCCUUCAACAUCAAUACAAGGAUCCUGGUCCCUCCUGAGGCUUAUGGAAACUCUUAAAGGAGACUCACCUUUAACUCUACAAUUCAGGUAUUGUCAGGCCCCUCUAACCAGUGACCCCUUUGGUAUCCUUUCCCCCACACUGCUUUGUCUUCUUCUCUUUUUAUUUGCUCUUAUAGCUUCUAUUUUUGGGCAUCUCCUGCCUGCCCUAAGUCUCUCUACCACAGGGUUGUCAUCCUCACAACCUGUUACACCCCUGGUUUGCAUGCUUAGAAAUUUUUCCUCAGGAUUUUCUUAUGGUUAUGGCCUGAAAAUGUCAAAGAACAAAUGUUACACUUUUUGCAAACUCAAGUGGCCCUCUUUUGGUGUGGGAUGGCCCUCUGAGUGCUCCCUCAACCCUGCCCAGGUUCAAGUGUUUGGAGGGCUGUUACUGGGUCACCAGGACACCCUGAUCAGUUCCUUUACAUCAACUCCUGACUUAACUGAGUGCAGCAUCCUCCUCCAUGGCUAAAGGUCUGCACCAGAAAGGCCUAUUCAAAGUUGCUUGCCUCCAAAAACUGUUGUCCCCCUCAUGGGCAAACUCCAAAGAGAUAAAACCCAGUCCUAGUGCUGUGGAAGUCCUCCCCUGUCCACCUCUUUAUAGCCCUAGUUUGCCCCCUCUCCUGUCUGCCCCAACCCAUCUGCCCCUGACUCCCUUGUUUUUUUCCUCUACUUCCCCUCCUACCUCUUUCCCCACAUGAGAACAUCAGCAAUCCCAGAAGGAGGUCACCACCUCGUGAAGAUGCAGUCCAGAGGCUCUCUUGCUUUUGAGGGAAGCCCCACCUCCUGAUGGGACAGAACCAGAAACCCACCAAUUCCUGGUAUAUGUUCCCUUUUCCACUUCUGACCUCUACAACUGGAAAACCCAGAAUCCAGCAUUCUCUGAGAAGCCCCAGGUUCUGAUUUUCCUGAUUGAGUCAAUCUUUAGGACUCAUCUACUGACCUGGGAUGACUGUCAACAGUUGUUAUUGACCCUGUUCAUAACCAAGGAGUGGGACAGGAUUAGGUUUGAGGCUAGAAAGGUUUUAUUGGGAGGGUGUUCAGACGUGGAGGCCCAUGAAUUGCUGAAAGAAGGCUUCCCCUCAGAGUGCCCUGAAUGGAACCCAAAUUCUUCAGGGGGGAAACCUUGCACCAGAACUUGUUGAACAGGAUCCAGGUAGUGGCUUAGAAUCUCAUAAAUCUGUCAAAAGCCACUGAAGUAACAUAGGGACCAGAAGAAUCCCCCUCUGUGUUCCUAGAGACUCCAAGAGGCCUUCUGGGUUUACACCCUAUUGAACCCCUUGGCUCCAGAGAACAACAGAGCUAUAAAUCCAGAUUUUGUUGGCUAGUCUGCAGCUGAUAUUGGGAAGAAAUUACAAAAAUUGGAGGAAUUCCCAGGAAUUAAUACAUCUCAGCUGUUAGAAGUAGCUCAAAAGAUGUUUCACAAUAGGAAUUCAGAAAAGCAAAAAUUGGCCAUAGCUGUGGCAGAAAGAUCAGCCAAGAAACAAGCAAAGAUCUUGGUAGCAAGCUUUUGAGGGUCCCCACAGGACUCAACUCCAGGAAGCCCAAAGGACAAGUGUCUAGAGAGCCAGGAGGAUGCCCACUAUUGGGCAGAAAUCAAUGUGCUUAUUGCAAGGAGAAAGGCCACUGGAAACAUGAAUGCCCCCACAGGCCCUCUGCCCUGCUACUAUCCCUCCCCACAUCUGGGAGAAAGGAAGAUUCAGACUGAGGAAGCCAGGGCUCCUCUCUUGGUCCCCAGGAGCCCAUGGUAAAUGUUGAAGCAGGGGGCAAACUGGUCCACUUCCUGGUGGACACUAGCACCAAGAGGUCAGUGUUAAAAAUGCUUCUGGGAGAGCUUUCAUCACAAAUCAUUCCCAUCCAGGAAGCCAUGGGAGCAGUCCAAAGCUGCCUGCUUACGAGGAACAGUGCUGAGUCUGGGAUCAAAACAAAUUACUCACUCCUUUCUGGUGAUACCAGACUGCCCAUUCCCCUUGCUGGGAUGAGACCUAAACUAAAGGUCACCAUUUCUUUCACUAUGACUGAGUCUCAGAUGUCACUCCCUUCAUACCAACUGUCCUUGACCACCGCCCUGUUUGAGGCCUAUCUCUUCUCAGGGGAAGAAAACAAAGAGGAAACAAGCCCCAAGGACUUAUUAGACAGACUUCAGGCAGAGUUCCUGAAGGUGUGGGUGGAACUAACCCACUGGGUUUGGCUGCUUACCACCCUCCAGUGAUAGUUGAGCUCUUGUCAACAGUCACAACUGUCCAAAUUCGAGAAUACCCCAUGUCUCAGAAGGUCAGACAGGAGAUAGCCCCUCACAUUAAGAGGCUGCUGGACUUUGGGAUAUUAAUUCCCUGUGAGUCUCCAUUGAUCACCCCAUUCCUGUCAGUACAGAAAUCAGGGAUGUUAGAUUACAGGCUGGUCCAGAAAUUGAGAGAAAUCAACUGGUGAGUGGUAGCUCUGCACCCUACUGUUGCCAACCCAUAUAUCCUCCUGAGUUUGCUGUCUCCUGAGCACCAAGUGCAUACUGUGCUAGAUGUAAAGGAUGUCUUUUCAGUGUUCCCCUUGCCUCAGCUAGCCAGCAUAUCUUUGCCUUUGAGUGAACUGACCCAGUUUCCAGAAACUCAGGUCAGCUCACCUGGACCCAGCUGCCUCAAGGAUUCAAAAAUGUACCCACUCUGUUUGGUGAAGCCCUCAAGAAGGAGUUGGUGAGUUUUAAAUUCCACCACCUAACCUCAUCCUGCUUCAAUAUGUGGAUGAUUUGUUCUUAACUGCUACCAGCUAUUCAGAAUGCCUGAAGGGGGUGCAAGAGCUUCUUCAGCUGCUAGAGGAGUUGGACUACCAUGUCUCAGCCAAGAAGGCACAACUCUGUGCCCCUAAAGUAUUGCACCUGGGGUAUGAAAUCUCAGAAGAAGAGCUCUGUCCCAGGCCAGGAAAGGGGCCAUCCUCCAGAUACCCACACCAAUUACCAACAAACAUGUAUGAGAAUUCCUAGGUGCAGCUGGAUACCUGGGUUUGCUGAGAUAGCACAGCGCCUCCAUUCUGCCGUGGGAGGAAAUCAGCCCCUAGAAUGGGAAAUAGAUGAAGAAACCUUCCAGAAUCUGAAAAGAGCUCUGGUACAGCCCCAGCCUUGGCACUGCCCGAUAUUGCCAACCCUUUUCAUCUGUUCAUCCAUGAGGUUAACCAGAGUAAGGAGGAAAGAGCCAGGACCACAGACCAGGUUGCUGAAUGGAGCCCACAAUAGAGCAGAGACUGCCAGCCUGCCACUGGGAUGUUCGAGUGGGUGAAAGGAAGGCCAAGUUAAGGCAGACUGGAGACCACCAAUGAAGCAGGCCUGGACAACUGCUUCCCCUGGGGUUUGGAGAGAGAAUAGACACCCUUGGAAAAAACUGACAAGAAACUUCACUCCAAUUCCUAAGGGAACUCAGUAUUUAUUUUCCAUAGGUGGGGGAAGAUUCAGUUCCCACCUCCAGGGUUCUGAAGAUCAGGAAUCAGAAUGGGGCAUGGGCUUGGAGGGGAGCAGCCAUACUUGAGGGGUAACCUUUACUAGCUCUGGCCCAGUCACCUCGGGCUUGGGCAUACCUGUCUGGAUGACAUGUUGGUCAAGUGAAGAAGUACCUUGUUCUUUGGCCUCCUGGGGCACAGCAGAGCUGAGAAGUACUUGGGUGCUCCUGUUCCUCAUGCUCACACCAGGAGCUAACCUCAUGGUUUCUGGCUGCACCACCGGCUUCCACAGCACCUGGGAUGAGGCCUCGAGGAUCCGGGGUGCUAUUUGGGGCCACCCAAAAUCCUGGUCUUCCUUGUCAGCAGGCUCCAAG